rnacentral:misc_RNA from 1 species
GAUGAAGAACGCAGCGAAAUGCGAUAAGUAAUGUGAAUUGCAGAAUUGAGUGAAUCAUCGAAUCUUUGAACGCAUCUUGCGCUCCUUGGUAUUCUGAGGAGCAUGCCUGUUUGAGUGUCAUUAAAUUCUCAACUACACUGACUUUGAAUUGGUGUGGCUUGGAUUUGGGGGGAAAAUUGUUGUGGGCUUUUUGUAUAGUCUGCUCCCCUGAAAUUGAUUAGCGGUACCUUUGUGGAACUGUCUACAGGUGUGAUAAUUAUCUACAUCUUAGACAUCUGCUGGAAUGCUGCUUUCUAAACCUUACUUGUAUUGACAAUCUUGACCUCAAAUCAGGUAGGACUACCCGCUGAACUUAAGCAUAUCAAUAAGCGGAGGA